rnacentral:misc_RNA from 1 species
UCAAUUAUUACAGGGCUUCGCUGGCCUUACCGCAUGUGCACCCUUGCUUCAUUCAUGCCAGCUACACCGUCUUGCCUCUUCAUAGUUGCUUCUGGGAUUACUCUGCCUUUGCAGGUUGGAAUCAUCAAACUUUGUAGUAGUCCAAUUCUUAGCGUCAUGUAAACCAUAUAAUA